rnacentral:rRNA from 1 species
GACGAACGCUGGCGGCGUGCCUAACACAUGCAAGUCGAGCGGAGAUAAUUAAAAGCUUGCUUUUGAUUAUCUUAGCGGCGGACGGGUGAGUAACGCGUGGGCAACCUGCCUGUUACAGGGGGAUAACACAGGGAAACUUGUGCUAAUACCGCAUAACACAACGAGGUAGCAUUCCCUUGUUGUCAAAGGAGCAAUCCGGUAAUAGAUGGGCCCGCGUCCAAGUAGCUAGUUGGAGGUGUAACGGACCACCAAGGCGACGAUUGGUAGCCGAACUGAGAGGUUGAUCGGCAACAUUGGGACUGAGACACGGCCCAGACUCCUACGGGAGGCAGCAGUGGGGAAUAUUGCACAAUGGGGGAAACCCUGAUGCAGCAACGCCGCGUGAAGGAUGAAGGUUUUCGGAUUGUAAACUUCUUUAGUCAGGGACGAAAAAAAUGACGGUACCUGAAGAAUAAGCCACGGCUAACUACGUGCCAGCCGCCGCAGUAA